rnacentral:rRNA from 1 species
CUCAGUUCGGAUUGGAGUCUGNAACCCGACUCCAUGAAGCUGGAUUCGCUAGUAAUCGCGCAUCAGCCACGGCGCGGUGAAUACGUUCCCGGGCCUUGUACACACCGCCCGUCAAGCCAUGGAAGCCGGGAGUGCCUGAAGUACGCGACCGCAAGGAGCGUCCUAAGGUAAAACCGGUGGCUGGGGCUAAGUCGUAACAAGGUAAC